GACGAACGCUGGCGGCGUGCUUAACACAUGCAAGUCGAACGGUGAAGCGCCUUCCUUUUUGGUGGGUGUGGAUGAGUGGCGAACGGGUGAGUAACACGUGAGUAACCUGCCCCCUUCUUCUGGAUAACCGCAUGAAAGUGUGGCUAAUACGGGAUAUUCUGGGUCUGUCGCAUGAUGGGUCUGGGAAAGAUCUUGUUUCGGUGGGGGAUGGGCUCGCGGCCUAGCAGGUUGUUGGUGGGGUGACGGCCUACCAAGGCGGUGACGGGUAGCCGGCCUGGGAGGGUGGACGGUCACAGUGGGGAUGAGCCACGGCGACGACUACUACGGGAGGCAGCGGUGGGGAUUAGUGCACAAUGGGCGGAAGGAUGAUGCAGCGCCGCGGCGUGAGGGAUGGAGGCCUGCGGGUUGUGAACCUCUUUCGGGAGUGAAGCAGGCCUGCCUCGUUUGUGGGUGGGUUGACGGUAGCUGGAGAAGAAGCGCCGGCUAACUACGUG
rnacentral:rRNA from 1 species